AGGUUAACCGUAUAGGGGAGCCGUAGAGAAAUCGAGUCUUAAUAGGGCGUUUAGUUGCUGGGUAUAGACCCGAAACCAGGCGAUCUAUCCAUGAGCAGGUUGAAGGUUGGGUAACACUAACUGGAGGACCGAACCCACUGUCGUUGAAAAGCCAGGGGAUGACUUGUGGAUAGGGGUGAAAGGCUAAUCAAGCCUGGUGAUAGCUGGUUCUCCCCGAAAGCUAUUUAGGUAGCGCCUCGGACGAAUACCAUAGGGGGUAGAGCACUGUUUCGGCUAGGGGGUCAUCCCGACUUACCAAACCGAUGCAAACUCCGAAUACCUAUGAGUACUAUCCGGGAGACAGACUGCGGGUGCUAACGUCCGUAGUCAAGAGGAAAACAAUCCAGACCGCCAGCUAAGGCCCCAAAAUCAUAGUUAAGUGGGAAACGAUGUGGGAAGGCAUAGACAGCUAGGAGGUUGGCUUAGAAGCAGCCACCCUUUAAAGAAAGCGUAAUAGCUCACUAGUCGAGUCGGCCUGCGCGGAAGAUGUAACGGGGCUAAAACUAUGUGCCGAAGCUGCGGAU
rnacentral:rRNA from 1 species